CCUACGGGAGGCAGCAGUAGGGAAUCUUCCACAAUGGGCGAAAGCCUGAUGGAGCAACGCCGCGUGGGUGAAGAAGGUCUUCGGAUCGUAAAACCCUGUUGUUAGAGAAGAAAAUGCGUGAGAGUAACUGUUCACGUUUCGACGGUAUCUAACCAGAAAGCCACGGCUAACUACGUGCCAGCAGCCGCGGUAAUACGUAGGUGGCAAGCGUUAUCCGGAAUUAUUGGGCGUAAAGGGUACGCAGGCGGUCUGUUAAGUCUGAUGUGAAAGCCUUGGGCUUAACCGGAGUAGUGCAUUGGAUACUAGGAAACUUGAGUGCAGAAGAGGAGAGUGGAACGCCAUGUGUAGCGGUGAAAUGCGUAGAUAUAUGGAAGAACACCAGUGGCGAAAGCGGCUCUCUGGGCUGUAACUGACGCUGAGGUUCGAAAGCGUGGGUAGCAAACAGGAUUAGAUACCCGAGUAGUC
rnacentral:rRNA from 1 species